GAGAUAGCUGGUUCUCUCCGAAAUAGCUUUAGGGCUAGCCUCGAGGUAAAGAGUCAUGGAGGUAGAGCACUGUUUGGACUAGGGGCCCUUCUCGGGUUACCGAAUUCAGAUAAACUCCGAAUGCCAUGUACUUAUACUCGGGAGUCAGACUGCGAGUGAUAAGAUCCGUAGUCGAAAGGGAAACAGCCCAGACCACCAGUUAAGGUCCCCAAAUAUAUGUUAAGUGGAAAAGGAUGUGGGGUUGCUUAGACAACCAGGAUGUUGGCUUAGAAGCAGCCACCAUUGAAAGAGUGCGUAAUAGCUCACUGGUCGAGUGACCCCGCGCCGAAAAUGUACCGGGGCUAAACAUAUUACCGAAACUGUGGAUGAACCUCUUUAGAGGUUCGUGGUAGGAGAGCGUUCUAAGGGCGGUGAAGUCAGACCGGAAGGACUGGUGGAGCGCUUAGAAGUGAGAAUGCCGGUAUGAGUAGCGAAAGAAGGGUGAGAAUCCCUUCCACCGAAUAUCUAAGGUUUCCUGAGGAAGGCUCGUCCGCUCAGGGUUAGUCGGGACCUAAGCCGAGGCCGAUAGGCGUAGGCGAUGGACAACAGGUAGAGAUUCCUGUACCAGUGCUAAUUGUUUAACCGAUGGGGUGACACAGAAGGAUAGGGAAUCGCACGAAUGGAAAUGUGCGUCCAAGCAGUGAGUGUGAGAAGUAGGCAAAUCCGCUUCUCGCGAAGCAUGAGCUGUGAUGGGGAAGGAAAUUAAGUACGGAAGUUCCUGAUUUCACGCUGUCAAGAAAAGCCUCUAGGAAGAGUAGUACUGCCCGUACCGCAAACCGACACAGGUAGAUGAGGAGAGAAUCCUAAGGUGAGCGAGAGAACUCUCGUUAAGGAACUCGGCAAAAUGACCCCGUAACUUCGGGAGAAGGGGUGCUCUAUUAGGGUGCAAGCCCGAGAGAGCCGCAGUGAAUAGGCCCAGGCGACUGUUUAGCAAAAACACAGGUCUCUGCAAAACCGUAAGGUGACGUAUAGGGGCUGACGCCUGCCCGGUGCUGGAAGGUUAAGAGGAGUGCUUAGCUUCGGCGAAGGUACGAAUUGAAGCCCCAGUAAACGGCGGCCGUAACUAUAACGGUCCUAAGGUAGCGAAAUUCCUUGUCGGGUAAGUUCCGACCCGCACGAAAGGCGCAACGAUCUGGGCACUGUCUCAACGAGAGACUCGGUGAAAUUAUAGUACCUGUGAAGAUGCAGGUUACCCGCGACAGGACGGAAAGACCCCGUGGAGCUUUACUGCAACCUGAUAUGGAAUGUUUGUACCGCUUGUACAGGAUAGGUAGGAGCCGAAGAGACGUGUGCGCUAGCAUACGAGGAGGCAAUGGUGGGAUACUACCCUGGCUGUAUGACCAUUCUAACCCGCCACGCUUAGCGCGUGGGGAGACAGUGUCAGGUGGGCAGUUUGACUGGGGCGGUCGCCUCCUAAAGAGUAACGGAGGCGCCCAAAGGUUCCCUCAGAAUGGAUGGAAAUCAUUCGCAGAGUGUAAAGGCACAAGGGAGCUUGACUGCGAGACUGACAAGUCGAGCAGGGACGAAAGUCGGGCUUAGUGAUCCGGUGGUUCCGCAUGGAAGGGCCAUCGCUCAACGGAUAAAAGCUACCCCGGGGAUAACAGGCUUAUCUCCCCCAAGAGUCCACAUCGACGGGGAGGUUUGGCACCUCGAUGUCGGCUCGUCGCAUCCUGGGGCUGUAGUCGGUCCCAAGGGUUGGGCUGUUCGCCCAUUAAAGCGGCACGCGAGCUGGGUUCAGAACGUCGUGAGACAGUUCGGUCCCUAUCCGUCGCGGGCGCAGGAAAUUUGAGAGGAGCUGUCCUUAGUACGAGAGGACCGGGAUGGACACACCGCUGGUGUACCAGUUGUUCCGCCAGGAGCAUCGCUGGGUAGCUAUGUGUGGCAGGGAUAAACGCUGAAAGCAUCUAAGCGUGAAGCCCCCCUCAAGAUGAGAUUUCCCAUUUCUUCGGAAAGUAAGAUCCCUGAAAGAUGAUCAGGUAGAUAGGUUUGGAGUGGAAGUGUAGCGAUACAUGGAGCGGACAAAUACUAAUCGAUCGAGGACUUAACCAAAA
rnacentral:rRNA from 1 species